UUGAAACCCAGCAAUCGAACA
rnacentral:miRNA from 1 species